GCAGACAAUGGACAGCCAGGGCAGGAAGGUGGUGGUGUGCGACAACAGCACCGGGUUUGUAAAUUGUGGAUAUGCAGGCUUUAACUCUCCAGAACACAUCUUCCCGGCUUUGGUUGGAAGACCUAUUAUCAGAUCAACCACCAAAGUGGGAAACAUUGAAAUCAAGGAUCUUAUGGUUGGUGAUGAGGUGAGUGAAUUACGCUCAAUGUUAGAAGUUAACUACCCUAUGGAAAAUGGCAUAGUACGAAAUUGGGAUGACAUGAAAUCUUACUCACAGAACCCCCUAUGAACCCAACCAAAAACAGAGAGAAGAUUGUAGAGGUCAUGUUUGAAACUUAUCAGUUUUCAGGUGUGUAUGUAGCCUUUCAGGCAGUUCUGACUUUGUAUACUCAAGGUUUAUUGACUGGUGUAGUGGUAGACUCUGAUUGCUUUUCUCUCCCUCACCUUACCAGGAGACUGGAUAUUGCUGGGAGGGAUAUUACCAGAUAUCUUAUCAAGCUGCUUCUGUUGACAGGAUAUGCCUUCAACCAUUCUGCUGAUUUUGAAACAGUUCGAAUGAUUAAAGAAAAAUUGUGUUAUGUGGGAUAUAAUAUUGAGCAAGAGCAGAAACUGGCCUUAGAAACCACAGUAUUAGUUGAAUCUUACACCCUCCCAGAUGGACGCAUUAUCAAAGUUGGGGGAGAGCGAUUUGAAGCCCCCCCCACCAGAAGCUUUAUUUCAGCCUCAUUUGAUCAAUGUUGAGGGAGUUGGUGUUGCUGAAUUGCUUUUUAACACAAUCCAAGCAGCUGACAUUGAUACCAGAUCUGAAUUCUUAUAAACACAUUGUGCUUUCUGGAGGGUCUACUAUGUACCCUGGCCUGCCAUUGAGGUUGGAACGAGAACUACAACAGCUCUACUUAGAACGAGUUUUAAAGGGAGAUGUGGAAAAACUUUCUUAAUUUAAGAUCCGCAUUGAAGACCCACCCCGCAGAAAGCACAUGGUAUUUCUGGGUGGUGCAGUUCUGGCAGAUAUCAUGAAGGACAAAGACAACUUCUGGAUGACCCGGCAGGAGUGCCAAGAGAAGGGUGUCCGUGUGCCGGAGAAGCUUGGUGUGACUGUUCGAUAGACUGCAAAGCUUGUCCGCAUCCUGCCCCUAACACUUUCUUUUUUCCUUUAUUGCCAA